AGAAGGGGAGGGGAGUGCUUGCUUCGGCAGCACAUAUUACUAAAAUUGGAAUGAUACAGAGAAGAUUAGCAUGGCCCCUGC